UUCAUCUAUCUCUUCCUCCUCCCUUUGUGUUGCAGCAGUAGCAGGGAAAGUGAAAGAAGAAAACAGGACAAAACUUAAAAUACUUAUCAAGAAGCAGUCAUCAACAGUCUCUCCUUCAAAAAAAAGUCGUGGGCUAGAUGGAUUCAGUGCAGAAUUCUACCAGACUUUCAAAGAAGGGCUAAAUCCAAUUCUCUCCAAACUAUUCCACAAAGUAGAAACAGGAGGAACAUUGCCAAACUCAUUCUAUGAAGUCACUGUCACCUUGAUACCUAAACCUCAAAAAGACCCAACAAAAAAGAGAACUUCAGACCUAUCUCUCUUAUGAACAUUGAUGCAAUAUUACUUAAUAAAAUACUUGCAAAUCAAAUCCAAGAACAUAUCAAAGAUAUCAUCCACCAUGACCAAGUAGGCUUCAUCCCAGUCAUGCAAGGGUGGUUCAACAUAAGGAAAUCCAUCAAUGUAAUCCACUACAUAAACAAACUGAAGGAGAAAAAUCACAUGAUCAUCUCCUUAGAUGCCGAAAAAGCAUUUGACAAAGUCCAACACCCAUUCAAGUUUAAAGUCUUGGAGAGAUCAGCGAUACAAGGCACAUACCUAAGCAUAGUAAAGGCAAUAUACAGCAAGCCUAUAGCCAACAUCAUACUCAAUGGAGAGAAACUUAAAUCAAUCCUACUGAAAUCAGGGACAAGACAAGGCUGCCCACUCUCCCCAUAUCUCUUCAACAUAGUCCUAGCCAGAGCAGUAAGACAACUAAAGGAGAUCAAGGGGAUACAAAUCAGAAAGGAAGAGGUCAAAGUGUCACUAUUCUCAGAUGAUAUGAGAGUAUACAUGAGCAACCCCAAAAAUUCAACCAGAGAACUCCUCCAGCUGAUAAACAUCUUCAGCAAAGUGGCAGGAUACAAAAUCAACUCAAAAAAUCAGAAGCCUUCCUGUAUACCAAAGGCAAUAGGGCGGAGAAAGAAAUAAGGGAAAGAAAACCCUUCACAAUAGCCACUAAUAACAUAAAGUAACUUGGGGUAACACUAACCAAGCAAGCGAAAGACAUGUUUGAGAAAACUUCAAGUCUCUGAAGAAAAAAAAAUUGAAGAAGAUAUCACAAGAUGGAAAGAUCUCCCAUGCUCAUGAAUUGGUAGGAUUAACAUUGUGAAAAUGGCCAUCCUGCCAAAAGCAAUCUACACAUUCAACUCAAUUCCCAUCAAAAUACCAACUCAAUUCUUUACAGACCUUGAAAAAAGGAUUCUCAGCUACAUAUGAAGAAAAAAAAAAAAAAAACAAGAAUCUCCAAAACAA